GAAAUGCGAUAAGUAGUGUGAAUUGCAGAAUUCAGUGAAUCAUCGAAUCUUUGAACGCACAUUGCGCCCCUUGGUAUUCCAUGGGGCAUGCCUGUUCGAGCGUUAUUUGUACCCUCAAGCUCUGCUUGGUGUUGGGUGUUUGUCCCCGUCUCCGCGCGUGGACUCGCCCCAAAGUGAUUGGCAGCCGGCGUACUGGUCCCGGAGCGCAGCACAUGUCGCGCAAACGAGUGCCUUGGUACGGCGGCGUCCAUAAGCCCCUCUCUCACGCUCUUGACCUCGGAUCAGGUAGGGAUACCCGCUGAACUUAAGC
rnacentral:misc_RNA from 1 species